rnacentral:piRNA from 1 species
UGAGUCAGAAUGUGCUCUGUGAUGAGA